UCAAAGUCUUUUCGACGCUUAAGGUAAUGGUAGCAAUUGGAGAAAGUACUUUGACUUGAGAGUGGAUGUGAUUGUUGGAGGGAGAAAGAUGGACCAAAGCAUGUGUUUUGUAAAACGAUUCUUGUGUUGUUACAUCAUUGCGAAUCUAGUUUGAGAUGUCUGAUUCGGUUCACUAAACAACUUAGCAUCACCUAGCAUAGUUCAUCUUUCACCGUAAGCACUUAACACCAAUUCUAAAAUAUGUAAACAAGUUGUUGUUGUAAGCUAGGCAUAUUCCACAAUUCAACAACAUAUGCCAGGAACUGGUAAUUUAAUCUGCAAUGAUAAUACUCCUACCCUUUAUAAAACCACAAGGAUGGUGGGUGACGAUAAUUUUAAAAACUAUUUUGAAACGAAGUUUUGAGUAAUCAAUCAAUGUAUUUUGUCCCCAUUAGAGUAUGGUACGGUAUGGUAUAUGCCCACACUAUUAUUAUUCAAACAAAAUUACCGGUUUCUGUGAAUAUUUUCACACCUGACGACCUGUGAUGGCUUGUAAAUAGUGAAUGUGUGGAACUACAUGUGAAUGAGUAUUUCAUAGUGUUCUUGUCUGCUUGUUGUGAUAAUAUAGUCCCGUCCAAUUGUAUACGGAUAUUUUUGUGAAAGGGUUAUAUGUAUACGCUUAAAAUUGCAUGGGAAAGAGUUUAGUAAUACAGAGCUUCAAUAUCCUAUACCUUAUUUCAUGUUGUUUAGACAUUUAUUCACAAGCACAUAGGCCUACAUAUAGGAGCUUACGAUUACUACAAAUAUUUAAAAGUUAAUGUCAUUCCUUGGCUUGUAAGUACAUUUUUAAGAAUCAUGACAAACAACACUCUUUAAGAUACAUUUUUUCUGUUUUAUUGUUAUAUUCAUGGAAUAAAAAUCCCCAUCCUGUGUUUUAUUUGGGAUAUCUAUUCCCAUUCAUGCUCAAAUAGGAUAUUUACUGCCCAACUAUCUAUUUUGUAUUGCUUGUAGGAGUUAUGAAAUUGAUCACUGUUCGUUAUCUUCACUUUGCAUAUUCAUUAUGGCACAUUUCCUCCUAUAGGACAUUGUAUCCCAUAUUAAGUUUAAAUUUGGGAGUUAAAAUCCUAUAGGAGAAAUCAUAUUUUUUCUCCGAUGGGAUUUUUGGCGGGAGUGAAAAUCCCCCCAAGUAGGAGUGAAAAUCCCACCAAAAUCCCAUGGAAUUUUUUUAAUUUCAGGUGAAAUAUCUUAAAACUACAAUAGUUACAAGUGUAAAAUGUUGGUGCGUGUCUUGUGAACAUAAAAUCCAAGCUUUAUUGUAAAGGGUGUAUUUGUAUCCUUAAUGAAAUGGUUGGCGAAACUCUGGACUUCUGUCGUGUCCAGACUUAAAUGUCGCACUCUUGGAUGUUUAUUUAAUUGCUGGGAUAAGAUUUAGAAAUUCAUUUCAAAAUUAAGGAUUAUCUCCCUCAUGCAUAGCUUUUAUCCUUGGACGAAUUUGGCUCCAGAUUUUUUUUUUUUUUUUUUUUUUGGUACUCUAGUUUUCCUUUUAGUUCUUACAAGUUUAUUGUUAUUUCGAAUUUUCAAAAUUUCGGCUUGCGUAUCACUGAAGAGACAUUAUUUAUCGAAAUGCGCAUCUGGUACAUCAAAAUUGGUACCGUAUAACUUUUACAUUAGGAUACCAAAUGUCUCGUGUAUUUAAAAAUGAUUCAUAUUGCAUAAGCAGUAUUUAUUACGUUAGUUUAGAAUGAAAUUUACAUGCCGUCUAAAGUUGAUUAUCAUAUAGAUAAACAAAAUAGCAUACGGCAGCUGGUUUUGAUUUAUUUGUGUGUUUCUUAAAUUUCCACUAGACAGACCUGCUUGAGAAAUAAAUUUUGCAGUAGAAAAAGCUGUGAUUGGAAAUGAUUCAAGAACAACACUGGAUUCCUACCCCAACCUCCAAACAAAUUAGAAUUAAAAUUAAAUUAUGGGCCCCUAGUGUAAAACUUAUACGAUACCAAUUUUGAUGCACCAGAUGUGCAUUUCGACAAAUAAUGUAUCUUCAGUGAUGCUCAAUGUGUCAUAAUAUCCUCUUCCCCAGAUAAGAAUAUUCAUCUGGACAUGAUAAGGCCGUUUAUAUAAUUAAGUCUGGGAUGGCUGAAUUAAAGAUAUAUUGCACAUAGCAGUGGCGGAUCUACACGGAGUAAUGAAAAGGAGCCGGUUGUCCCGAAGCCCUUAGUGGGUCCAGUGCUAACUUCCCGCCCACUGCAACUACUGAUUUCUAACAAAAUAAGACAUACAUGUUUUAAAGUGAUUUGACAUAUUUCUGUAAAAAAAAAAAAAAAGGAUGAUAAUUUCUUAUGCUAUCAAUAGAAGUUGAUAGUUAGUACAGAAAUAAAAAGAAUUUCACCCCAAAGUAACCAGGUUUGUUUGCAGUUUUACAGUGGGCAACUAAUGGUGUCUCUAGAGAUCUAGAAGACAAAGAACACAAUACAAACGGAGCAUUUAAAUUCGUCUCUACACAUGAUCAUAGAUAAACUGGGCUAUUUUGUGUAUUGUAAGUUACAUCUCAUGCACUGAUUAAUGGUUGUAUUCCUUUUGAUUGAUUAUUAAACAUAUUUAAGCAACAUACAUCACUAUAUUCCACUUGACACACGUUGGGUUAAAUGUUUAAAAUGAUAUAUUCAUAUAACGUUAGGUACGUGUAAGUUCAAGUGGAUCUUGAACGGUAUAAAAAUACGCAAUAUGGGGAUUACUUUCGGUAUGGACGUUGAAAAAUGACAGAUAUUUGAUGAUAUCUUCAAAAAUUGCGAGGUAGGAAAGUUGAUUAUCAAGUUAUGUAAACAUAUGUUGGGUGCCGGAAAAAGUACUAAUAGUAUGUUUGCAAUACCCAUCCCUUCAAUAAUUUGACCCUCCCCCCAAAAUAAAAUAAAUAAAAGAGGACAUCUAGUUUUAGCCGAUCCUGUACCAAGUGAAAAAUGACGUACGCCAUAUAUCACGUGACGAUAAUAACAGUGGACGUCUACCGCAAGUUUCAUACCAAUAUACUGUAAAAUUCUAGAUUUUUGUUACAUUUUAUAUUUAAAAUAUGAAGACCUGCUCUGUGUAUGAUUACAAACAUUUCAGCGAAAUUGAUGACGUAGUCAACACCCGGAAACGAGAACGCGCACAUCAAUUCUGCAGAAAUACAUGUACAGUUUGAAAACCCGUAUCAGCACAGAGAUAUCUUAGGUGAUCUGUUAUGAAUAGCAGUGCUGUAUACUUGUUGAUUACAACGCCGGUAGGUAGUACUGAAUAUAUGUGAAUUAAGGAAUGUACGAGAAGAUCAGCAAUUGGGAAUUAUCUUCGCAUAUAUAGUAAGACGUCAUUCCUAACCCUUCAAAUAUUGCUUACAAUCAAGUUGAUUUAAUUUUGCUGAUACAAUUUUUGAUUUUCUGUCUGCAAAAUCCCGGUGCUAGUAUACCCGUGUACAUACAGUUACACCUACAGACACACAGAAGCGCUACCACUACAAUAGCUGGCUCUAUGGAAUAACUGUACCUGGCGCUAAGAAUGGACUAGUACAACAUCAAAUGCAAACAACUAUGGUGUGAGGAAUAUCAUCAUCAAUCUAAUUGGACUUUGACUGACUGUUGGGAGUGGUUGGGCAAUGACACACCUACUUCCGCAGAUGACGUAGUUCUUAUGCAUAUAAUAAACGAUUGUGUGAGUCGUAUAGUAUGCGACUUCAACUGCUAUCCGAGAGGCCACUGAUAUCGCAUUCAGAAUGGUAUUACUGUCCCUUAUCCUCGCCUACUCUCUUGUAUUCGCCGCCUUCGCAUUUGAAGACAAUACUUUCUACCGUCGAGGGGAAGUGGGUAGGAGGAUCAUCGAUGGUGAAAUUUUUGAUGCGUCAACUGAACAUGCUCAAAAUACCGACAAUGGAGAUAUGCAAGGCAGGGAUAGAAAAUCUGUCAUCGAAUAUCCAAUGGAAGGAAUGUAUUAUGUUCUAUAGGCUUACAAAUGGACACACCUUGCUGAUCUGAGGAAUUGCAGCGAAAAAUGAAUAAUUUGCAUGUUUAGUUUUUGCUAAAAUUUGAUUAAACUUUAUUCAUUAUUUUGAUCAAUUUGUAAUUUAAUAGCAAUGCCGGUAUAGACGUGAUAAAUGCAUGUCAAAUAUGUGUGUUACAUAGUAAUGAAGAAGAACAGGAAGUUUUGAAUAAAAAACGUAAAGAGGUUUA